rnacentral:rRNA from 1 species
GUGGGGAAUAUUGCACAAUGGGCGCAAGCCUGAUGCAGCCAUGCCGCGUGUAUGAAGAAGGCCUUCGGGUUGUAAAGUACUUUCAGCGGGGAGGAAGGCGAUGCGGUUAAUAACCGCGUCGAUUGACGUUACCCGCAGAAGAAGCACCGGCUAACUCCGUGCCAGCAGCCGCGGUAAUACGGAGGGUGCAAGCGUUAAUCGGAAUUACUGGGCGUAAAGCGCACGCAGGCGGUCUGUCAAGUCGGAUGUGAAAUCCCCGGGCUCAACCUGGGAACUGCAUCCGAAACUGGCAGGCUUGAGUCUUGUAGAGGGGGGUAGAAUUCCAGGUGUAGCGGUGAAAUGCGUAGAGAUCUGGAGGAAUACCGGUGGCGAAGGCGGCCCCCUGGACAAAGACUGACGCUCAGGUGCGAAAGCGUGGGGAGCAA